AGGGUUCCUGGCGUGCUGAUUUGUGACUUAUGAUAAAAUCACAUUGCCAGGGAUUACC
rnacentral:pre_miRNA from 3 species